CCCGUGCUGAGGGAUGAAUGGUUGAGGAAGUUUAAAAUAUGCUCGAUCUUUAACGGAGCCCGUAGCGUGGGUAGAUCGUCUUUUUGGGUUGCGUUGUGGUGAAAGAUCUACCAAACCGAACCCUAGUCCUAACUGCUUCCAACUAGUGGAACAGCAUAACUUAGUAAUCAAAGGAAAACACUUUGGUCCUUAUUACAUUUCAAACCUUGUUGAAAGUGAUAGGUCUCGGUUUUAGGUGUGGCUGAGAUAGAUCUUGAAACAAGGACAAAUGGAUUAGUAUUCCUAAUCUUUUAUUCGGUGUUCACUAGUUUGAAACAGUAAGGACUAGGGUUCCGAUUCAUGGUCAAUAUCGGUAUCAUUUCUUGACUUAAUCGUUAGGGGAUCCGAUUUU